rnacentral:lncRNA from 1 species
ACCAGUGUGAGGGCCGCCCGCGUGGGCUGCAGUUUUCUCUUGCUCACAGCCCGCACGGUGGCGCGGACCAACGACGCCGACAUGUCCACGUCGCGGCACCCGCAGCCUCCGGCUGGAGCGUGGGGACUCAACUUCUCUCCAUGGACACGGCGGGCACUUUGACGCCACAAGCUCCUGCGCAGGCGCCACAGGCCCCGCCUCCCGUCGCCCGUCCCGCUCCACCAUUGGACAGUCCGGGAAGCUUGCCAAAGCAGUUCACAGUGAGCAAGAGACUGUUAGAAGGUG